AUUACUUGAUUCUUUUUGUAAGAAAAGACAAUUAUUGGUGCACAAACAUGCACAGCUGUAACCAUUUCAUUAGAUUCCUCAGCAGGCAGGUUGUCUUUAUCACAGCUAUGCAGCGAGCUUAACACACUAGUAAUACAAUUACAGUGAGAAGCACUGAUUGAUGAAUGUAUUGUCUGUGUUUUUAGGGAAGUACGGACGUCACAACAGCCUGCCAUUCCUCAGACCUCCUCUCACCACAGCUCUGCUCACUUUGGGAAAAGCACACCAGAAUGCUAUGCUGGGUAAUGGACUAGUCCUCCAGAACCUCUUGCAUAUGCAGCUCGCACAGCAACAGCUUCUUCACAUCAAAGACAAACGCCUCAGCAACGUCUCCAGUCUGCUCGGGGACCCGUCCAGGCUGCUGAUGCAGAAAGCUUUGUCUCUACGGCCUCCAGGCCUUGUGUCGCUGGGGAAAGGCCUCCUGGGAGACUCCCCUACAGGUGAGCAGCACCCAGUAAGCCCUCGUCAAAUGACUUGGUGUCAUUACUGCAAACUAAUAAGACAAUAAUGAGACCUGCAGUACGUCCCUCACCAGUGUUUUUGUUAACCACCUGUUUCAAGCAGUAAAGAGAGUACAUAUGCCUCAGUAUCCCACAGAGUAUUUGUAUUUUCUCAGGUAUCACUCUCUCAUUAAAAU
rnacentral:lncRNA from 1 species